rnacentral:rRNA from 1 species
UACGUAGGGUGCAAGCGUUGUCCGGAAUUAUUGGGCGUAAAGAGCUCGUAGGCGGUCUGUCGCGUCGGCUGUGAAAUCCCGAGGCUCAACCUCGGGUCUGCAGUCGAUACGGGCAAACUAGAGUAUUGCAGGGGAGACUAGGAAUUCCUGGUGUAGCGGUGAAAAUGCGCAGAUAUCAGGAGGAACACCGGUGGCGAAGGCGGGUCUCUGGGCCGAUACUGACGCUGGAGGAGCGAAAGCGUGGGGAGCAAACAGGG